rnacentral:misc_RNA from 1 species
CUGAAUGGCCUCUCGGGGCCUUCAACCCUUCAAACCAGUGGAAGCAAACUCUGUGCUUCGGCGCCUCGUGCGCCGCUUUUAUGCAGAAGGCUUUCUGUCUGAAUCAUAAACAAGAAUUA